rnacentral:rRNA from 1 species
GCUUUAGGGCUAGCCUCAAGGUGAGAGAUACGGAGGUAGAGCACUGAAUGUCCUAGGGGGUAUUGCACCUACCGAAGACUAUCAAACUCCGAAUGCCGUCAUCUUAUACUUGGGAGUCAGACUGUGGGUGAUAAGAUUCAUAGUCGAAAGGGCAACAGCCCAGAUCGUCAGCUAAGGUCCCUAAAUGUAAGUUAAGUGGUAAAGGAUGUGGGAUUGCACAGACAACCAGGAUGUUGGCUUAGAAGCAGCCACUCAUUCAAAGAGUGCGUAAUAGCUCACUGGUCGAGUGAUCCUGCGCCGAAGAUUUCCGGGGCUAAAACUUACUACCGAAGCUACGGCAUCAGUAAUGAUGGGUAGGGGAGCUUCCCAUACGGGUUGAAGCAUGACCGUAAGGACAUGUGGACAGUAUGGGAGUGAGAAUGUUGGCAUGAGUAGCGAGAUGUGGGUGAGAACCCCACAGGCCGUAAACCCAAGGUUUCCAGGGGAAGGUUCGUCCGCCCUGGGUUAGUCGGGACCUAAGCUGAGGCCGAAAGGCGUAGGUGAUGGACAACAGGUUGAUAUUCCUGUACUACCGAUAACCGUUUGAGAGAAGGGAUGACACAGUAGGAUAAGCUAAGCACACUGUUGGUUAUGUGUGCCCAAGCAUUGAGGCAGUCAAAGUAGGCAAAUCCGCUUUGAUAAUGCUGGGAUGUGAUGGGGAGCGAAAUUUAGUAGCGAAGUAGCUGAUUUCACACUGUCAAGAAAAGUCUCUAUCGAGGUUAAAGGUACCCGUACCGCAAACCGACACAGGUGGGUGAGGAGAGUAUCCUAAGGCCAGCGAGAGAACUGUUGUUAAGGAACUCGGCAAAAUGACCCCGUAACUUAGGGAUAAGGGGUGCCACCAUCAGGUGGCCGCAGAGAAUAGGCCCAAGCGACUGUUUACCAAAAACAUAGGUUUCUGCUAAGUCGCAAGACGAUGUAUAGGAGCUGACGCCUGCCCGGUGCUGGAAGGUUAAGGGGAUCUGUUAGAGCAAUCGAAGCAGUGAACUUAAGCCCCAGUAAACGGCGGCCGUAACUAUAACGGUCCUAAGGUAGCGAAAUUCCUUGUCGGGUAAGUUCCGACCCGCACGAAAGGCGUAACGA